AUUUGGCUGCACCAGAUCUUAGUUGCGGCAUGUGGAUCUCAGGUAUGGCAUGUAUUAACAGGAUCUAGCCCCCUGUCCAGGGAUCAAACCCGGGCCCCCUGCACUGGGGGCACAGAGUCUCAGCCACUGGACCACCAGGGAAUCACCUCUUUUCUGCUCUUUUAACUGAAGUAUGUGUGUGUGCGUGCUCAGUCGCUUCAGUUGUGUCUGACUGUUUGCAACCCCACAGACUGUAGCCCACCAGAAUCCCAGGGAUGGGGUAGCUUGGUCGGCUGCCGUCUAUGGGGUCACACAGAGUCGGACACGACUGACGUGACUUAACAGCAGCAGCAGUAAUCCCAGACUCCCACUCUGCCCCUCCCCAACCUCUUUCCCCAUUGGCAGCCACAAUUUGGUUCCCUGUGUCUGUGACUCUGUUUCUGGUUUGUAGAUAGGUUCAUUUGUGCUGUAUUUUAGAUUCCACACUUUCCCUUUCUGACUUCACUCACUUAGAAUGAUAAUCUCUAGUUGCAUCCAUUGCGUUAUUUCUUUCCUUUUUACGGCUGAGUAGUACUCCAUUGUAUAGAGGUACCACAUCUUUAUCCACUUAUCUGUUGACGGACAUUUAGGCGGUUUCCAUGUCUUGGCCAUUGUGAAUGGUGCUGCUGCAGGCAUAGGAGUGCACGCAUCUUUUUGAAUUUGUUUGGUUUGGGUCCAGGCCCAGGAGUGGGCCUGCUGGAUCGCACGGAAGUUCUGCUCCUUGCUGUUCUUUCAGCGUACCAAACUUGUGCAUGUGUGCGUGCUAUGUCGCUUCAGUCAUGUCCAACUAUUUGUGGCCCUACGGACUGCAGCCCACCGGGUUUCUCUGUUCGUAGGAUUCUCCAUGCAAGAAUACUGGAAUGGGUUGCCAUGCCCUUCUCCAGGGGAUAUUCCCAACCCAGGGACCAAACCUGACUCUCUUACAUCUUGGCAGGCGGAUUCUUUACCACUAGCGCCACCUGGAAACCCCACACCAAACUUAUGCCUGCCUCCAAACCAUUGCCUCUACCGUGCACUACACUUGGAUCUCUCUCCCAUCCAUCCUUCCCAGAGCUCAUUCCAACUCACGCUUCCUCCCUCAGAAGCACAUCCAAGACAAAUUUCACCCUCCUGAUGGUCUCUCUCUUAGCACUCUCAUCUCUUUCUUAAAGACUUAUUGUUAUGUCUCUUUAGGGGAUUGCUAAUGUUCCUCUCUCUCCCAGCAUAUCUACCUCCUGAAGACAGAGACUCUCUCCCUCUUGUUUACAUCUAUAGCCCCAGGCGGUGCAUCCUAAGAAAAUCGAACACCAAACCCUAACACUCUGCCCAGCCCGUGCUACUCACCUUCGAGGAACUCACUCCUUCCCACCAUGCUGCGAGGCUGGAAGCAUUAUUAUCCCCAUUUACAGAUGAGGACACUGAGGCUCAAAGAAGUCCCUUGUUUGCCUGAGUCUAUACAGCUGCUGAGGGGACUGCUUUGCUUGCCUAAGUCUACACAGCUGCUGAGGGGCCUGCUAGCAGGAGAGGGUACAUAGCUGGAUCCCAGGCCAAGGGUCCCCUCCACUGGGUGCCAUAUGGGACAAUGGAGGUGGCUGGUCCAGAGCUGGGG
ensembl:lncRNA